GAUAUUCCGUCCUCUUUAACUUUUUCAGGUUGUGUUCGGAGGUGGCGGACUGCUCGACUCAGAAUUAGACUCCGUCACCAUGCCGUUUUCUUUCGCUGUGAAGCGUUUAGGUGUCACGGUGCAGUCUGCUCUACGCAAACCGCCGUGAAUAAGCAAUCAUGUGCUAAAAGCUUGAUUUUUGAAGGUCUGGAAGCGGCGUAGCAUGAUUUAUGCUAGGUGGCUAGCCGUUAGCCACAAGUGAGCCUGGCGAACACGUGCAAGGAGAGCAAACUGGAUGCCACAGACAGCAGUGGACGAUGUGGAUUGAACAAGGAUCUUCACAGUUCAUUUUACUUAAAGAUGGAUGAUCCUGAUGUUUCACUCCACACUGACUAUGCAGGAAGAAGUGAAGGUGAAAAGGUGUAACUACAGCAAAGUGAGGACAGAAGUCCAAUGGAUGCACAGAUGACCGAAACCAGGUGUAAUCGGUAGGGACAUGGAAACGCACCACCCUUGUGACUGACCCAGAAGUCUGGAAGAAACCAUUCAUUGCUGUAGAUCUGCUUAAGUGAAAAUCAAAAAUGAUACUGUUUUAAAAAUUGUUUAUUAAAAAAGUGAAAAAUUCUAGUAAAAUGGCACAUUUAAGUAUUCAUAUUGGAAGUAACAAGUAUCCUCAUGGGGAGUGUCCAGCACGCAUCGACCAAUCUGUGUUGAAAGAUCUAUAGGAUUUCCUUUUCAGAUUUUCUAGAUAUAUCUGCUCCUCUUGGAGGUAUUCACGAUCCUGUGGGCGAGAGAAAAACAUUGUAUGUGUUGUGAAUGAGCCAAUGGUGGAACAACUCAUUUCCAAUAAAGACAAAUGAAGUAA